rnacentral:rRNA from 1 species
UUAACGACUCUCGGCAACGGAUAUCUCGGCUCUCGCAUCGAUGAAGAACGUAGCGAAAUGCGAUACUUGGUGUGAAUUGCAGAAUCCCGUGAACCAUCGAGUCUUUGAACGCAAGUUGCGCCCGAAGCCAUCAGGUUGAGGGCACGUCUGCCUGGGCGUCACG